rnacentral:rRNA from 1 species
CAACCGGGAUUGCCUCAGUAACGGCGAGUGAAGCGGCAAGAGCUCAAAUUUGAAAGCUGGCUCCUUCGGGGUCCGCAUUGUAAUUUGCAGAGGAUGCUUCGGGUGCGGCCCCUGUCUAAGUGCCCUGGAACGGGCCGUCAGAGAGGGUGAGAAUCCCGUCUGGGAUGGGGUGUCCGCGCCCGUGUGAAGCUCCUUCGACGAGUCGAGUUGUUUGGGAAUGCAGCUCUAAAUGGGUGGUAAAUUUCAUCUAAAGCUAAAUACUGGCCGGAGACCGAUAGCGCACAAGUAGAGUGAUCGAAAGAUGAAAAGCACUUUGAAAAGAGAGUUAAAAAGCACGUGAAAUUGUUGAAAGGGAAGCGCUUGCGACCAGACUCGCCUCCAGGGUUCAGCCGGCAUUCGUGCCGGUGUACUUCCCUGGGGGCGGGCCAGCGUCGGUUUGGGCGGCCGGUCAAAGGCUCCCGGAAUGUAGUGCCCUUCGGGGCACCUUAUAGCCGGGAGUGCAAUGCGGCCAGCCUGGACCGAGGAACGCGCUUCGGCACGGACGCUGGCAUAAUGGUCGCAA